rnacentral:rRNA from 1 species
GACGAACGCUGGCGGCGUGCCUAAUACAUGCAAGUAGAACGCUGAAGGAGGAGCUUGCUCUUCUGGAUGAGUUGCGAACGGGUGAGUAACGCGUAGGUAACCUGCCUGGUAGCGGGGGAUAACUAUUGGAAACGAUAGCUAAUACCGCAUAACAUUGACUAUUGCAUGAUAGUCAAUUGAAAGGUGCAAAUGCACCACUACCAGAUGGACCUGCGUUGUAUUAGCUAGUUGGUGGGGUAACGGCUCACCAAGGCAACGAUACAUAGCCGACCUGAGAGGGUGAUCGGCCACACUGGGACUGAGACACGGCCCAGACUCCUACGGGAGGCAGCAGUAGGGAAUCUUCGGCAAUGGACGGAAGUCUGACCGAGCAACGCCGCGUGAGUGAAGAAGGUUUUCGGAUCGCAAAGCUCUGUUGUAAGAGAAGAACGAGUGGAGAGGGAAAGUUCAC